UUGGGACUUGUGUGAGUUGGUUUGAGACCACCAAGCAUGCUUAAAUUGUAUAUUAUUGCUUUUCUUAUUUUGUUUACUAACCAAAAGCACAAAAAUAUGUCACUAACUUGUUUUGUUUUGAAGCUUAAGCAAUCAAGUGAUCCAAGGCUCCUAGAAGGCUCAUAUGCUCAUUUAUGUGGCCAGAUGAAGUGAAAGCAAGC
rnacentral:lncRNA from 1 species